UCUCAGGCAUCUUGAAUUUAGGGCCCUUUAGUUUCGCAUCUGGACCUUCGAUAUUCACAUCAGGAACAUCAAUGUCCACCUUGGGUCCUGAGACGUCAAGGUCAGCCUUGGGCAGGUUCACAUCCACAUCUGGGCCCUCUCCUUUGAAGCCAGGCAUGCUGAACUUGGGCAUUUUCACCUUGGGCAUCUUCAGGUGCCAGUCUGGGCCAUGAACAUCCACAUCUGGGGCAUCAAUGUCCACUUUGGGCCCUCUGAUGUCAACAUCUGGCACUUUCAUUUCACCUUCUAC
rnacentral:lncRNA from 1 species